UACAGAGGGUGCAAGCGUUGUUCGGAAUUACUGGGCGUAAAGGGCGCGUAGGCGGCACAGCAAGUCGGGAGUGAAAGCCCGGGGCUCAACCCCGGAAUGGCUUUCGAAACUGCUGAGCUAGAGUACAGAAGGGGCAACCGGAAUUCCCAGUGUAGCGGUGAAAUGCGUAGAUAUUGGGAAGAACACCUGAGGCGAAGGCGGGUUGCUGGGCUGAUACUGACGCUGAGGCGCGAAAGCCAGGGGAGCAAACGGG
rnacentral:rRNA from 1 species